GUGAGGAAGGGGGGACAAUUGAGGGGUUGGGGCAGAUGUUACAAAUCUCAUAUCGUUAAAGGCUCUGUUUAUUACAAAAAAAUUAUGCACAAUGGCAGGACCAAAUAAAAUACAUUCAUCCAUCCUCCAACAAGUUCCAUCAAACCUGUACUUAGGAAUUACCAUCUGAAGACCUAAAGCGGGGAACACAAAUUUCUAACAUCACCAAGAAGGCUGAUUCAAACCUAGGCUAUAUCUGUGAAGAAAUCUACAAAACUGCCCCAAAGGAAGCCGACGAAAUACCUAUAUCUCAUUUAUAUGACCUAUCUUAGAGUACGUAUCUUUUGUAUGGGAUCCUUACUACACUAAGGACAUCAGCAACAUUGAGAGAGUCCAAAUCAUCGGAGCAAGAGUUAUCUCUCUGACCAUACCAACCGAGUAGCAGAAUGUAUCAGUGCAAUAUUCAGAGAUUUCAAACAACCAACACUUCAAGACAGAUGCUGUAACAUUAGACUAACAUACUUCUACAAGGUAGUUUAGGGACUGAUGCCAGCCAUACACCGCCACAAAAUUACUGUACCCACCACGUACCUUGAAAUUAUGCAGAAGUGACAGAACCAUCACUGCCCAUACAUAUACAGACUAUAAUACUGAUAAAAUAUCUGACCAUUCAGCUUUACUAUGACAGCAGAGGAUUGAUUUUUGCGACAAAGUCCUGCACUCUCUCACUAAUUGAAAUUACACUAAAUUUGCAAUUUGCUAUGUAUUCAUAGAUACAAGUAUUGAACUGUUGAAGUAAAAUAUUAAUAUGUAUAUGCUACCCGGAACAAGGUUUAACCUGUUAACCUCCAACAUAUUUCCAAACUUAAUUUUGAUAAAACAAAUAACCUCCAUUGUUUACGAUUAUGGUGAUUUAUACAACACUUCAAUAUACAGGAUUACAAUUCUGAUUAGUCCCGAUCCACAAUGCUGCUCAUGUUCACUAAGUUCAGUUCACUCACCAGCAUGCAGCAGCCAUGAUUUCAGUGCCUACUGGGCUACUUUCACUUUCACAGGAAGUGAAUGCAGAUCGAGGUCAAAUUAACGUUGUAGACCCUGUUGUUUGGAAUUGGACUCUGAGCAUAGAUUGAUCAUACAUGAUGAGUAUUUACUCAAUGAUUGAUCAGGAGAGAUACUUCGAAUUACAUUUCAUGCCCAGAUAUGUUGGGCCCAAUGCGUCUUUGCUCCAACCAUCACAAACUGACAAACGGAUGGUGACCGUGAUACUGAUAGUAACAGCUGAGUAAGGCUACAUGUACCCCGAUCAUCACUGAAAGGCAACCGGGAUGCAGUCUUUAAAUCUGGAGUUCUGGGCAGAACUGUGCAUUUCUGGAACAAUGAUGAGUUUAAGUGAAAUGGUAAUUUGUCAUGAAUUUCUACAGUGGCUACAUGUACCCUGACCAUCUUUGAAAGGCAACUGGGAUACAGUGCAGUCUUUAUCUGGAAUUCUUGGCAGAACUGGACAUUCCUGGAACAAUGAUCAAUUCAAGUGAAACAGACUCGGGUGCAAGCAGACAUUCUUGUAAUUACAGAAUGUAUUCCUUAAGAGAGGCAACAUGUGACCUGAAAACAAUUCUAUUCAGAUCUAUUUAAGGAAUGAAUUCAAUAUCUAAUUCAUCCAAGUAUAUACUGGGUUUGGGCAGUUUGCGCUUUUUUAAACUGCUAAGUGGUUUAUGAAAAAGCACAUUUUUGAACUUGCAAAAGAAAUCAGACCAACUGCUGAUAUACGUGGUUUUCAGUGAGUUAAUCAACGAUUAUCUAUGAAAAGUUAGCUACACUGAACAGUUUCUUUUUUACAUGAGUAUAUAUACCUGAAACCCAUUGCACAUCAUAAGAAUUUUAUUUUAUUUUGGACAGUGCUCUUGUUGUAAAGUGUUAUGUGUAAUGCAUGCGAGUUGUGGACAGGGUUUGUAGUCAUCUGAGAACAAGGAUUGGCACGUUGGGUGGACUUGGAGAAAUCUUCAUAUGCUAAACCCAGUUUUAGAAGAAACGAAGAAAGCAAACACUAGAUCAGUUCCAACUAAUAGAGCUGUCAAUCAGGAUAAGCAAUAAAACAUGUUGACCAAAUUGGCACUCGGCUGUAAUAAAACAUUGUAUGUAGGGAACAUGUACUAGAAGGAAAGAGCGUUUAUGUAUACAUUUAGUUUUUAUGUAAUAUUCAUUAAUUAUUAUUAUAUGAUUGAUAUUAAAUAUGUAAGGCCACACCAAUUUGUAAAAUAGUUCUUCGGAUUUUCAAACAAAAAAAGUGAGGCGAGAGGGCGAAAUUAUUUCACAAAUAUUAUUUUUAAUUUUGGAGAUAAAAAUUAUGAGGCGAGCGAAUACAAGAAAUAUAAAUAUUUUUAAUUGAAUUAAGUGUGAUUUUAAAAAGCGGGCGCCUAAAAGUAAAGAUCUAAAAUCAUCAGAUAUCAUUUGUUUACCACAUAAACUUAAUAUUUUUCAACUUUGUUGAUAUAGUUUACAAUAAAUAAGAAGUAUUUCAGGUUUCAAAGACUUAUUUUCUUUAUACCUAAUACAUGUACUUUGCAACAUUAACUGAUAAGGUCUUUUUGAAGCAUUUUAUUUAAGUUUCAUUUCUACAAACUUUCGAUUCAGAGAUAUGCAUAUUGCUAGGGACACAUCCAGUUUUGACAUUCAUUGCAAAUGCAAUAUCCAUUGCAUCGCUUUGAGAAUUUUCUUGAAUUUUGAUAUGACAUCACCAAACCUUUUGUGAAUUUGUCGUUAACUGUCGGUCCGGUUUAAAAUAGUCAUCGAUCAGUACCCCUUGCUUGUUGUAAGAGGCGAAUGAAUUGGGCGGUCCUUCAGAUAGGACUGCAAAAACUGAGAUCCUUGUCACAGCAGGUUUGGUACAAUAAAGAUCCCUCAGUGCCAUAAGCGCUGAGCAUAGGCCUAAAUUUUGCAGCCCUUCACCGGCAAUGGUAAUGUCUUCAUGUGAAUGAAAUAUUCUCAAGAGAGACUUCAGUCAAUAUAUAGGGUAAUCAAACAAUCAAUCAUAUGCUAUCAAUGUUCUUUAAAUAGUGGCAUCGAAUAGCGCUUCAAAAGUUUCAUCGGCUUCCAGUUCGAUUCCAGCAUAAGGAACAACUUCCAAUCCAGUGUUAUGAAGUAUCGUACAUAUUAAGAUAGACAUCAUGAAUAACUUAACCGUAUUACACUGUUAGGAAAUUUCUCGAGAGCCCGCGUUUCUGUCAUUGUCAGCAUGUACAUCAAGGUUAUUUGUACGCUUGUUGUAAAAAUUAAAAAAAAGAUUUACGGAUAUUUUUGAACACGCGGGCGGAUAUUAUUUUUUGAUAAUAUUAUAAUUUGGAUUUGUUACAAAUAGAAGCGGCGAAUCCGACGAACUAGAUUACAAAUUGGCAUGGCCUAAAUACUUAU